GGAAUCGCUAGUAAUCGUGGAUCAGAAUGCCACGGUGAAUACGUUCCCGGGCCUUGUACACACCGCCCGUCACACCAUGGGAGUGGGUUGCAAAAGAAGUAGGUAGCUUAACCUUCGGGAGAGCGCUUACCACUUUGUGAUUCAUGACUGGGGUGAAGUCGUAACAAGGUAACCGUAGGGGAACCUGCGGUUGGAUCACCUCCUUA
rnacentral:rRNA from 1 species